rnacentral:lncRNA from 1 species
UAGUCACUGAAUGAGAAACACUCAAUUGAAAAGAAAAAAAAAAGAAGAGAAAAUCAAAGAAAAAAGAGAAAUGAGCAAUACAAACUGAAAAAGGAAAAGAAUUAGAAAUGAGAUGUAGAACAAACACAAUGAAAAGAAUAAGGGCAUUGGCUUUGAACCCAAACCACUUGUUUUCCCUUUUGUUUGUAUUUACCCCACCGUAACCCAAGCCCCGUUACAACCCAAAAGACCUCAAAAAGUG